rfam:Ciona savignyi cont_35547, whole genome shotgun sequence.
GGCCCGUUGGUCUAGGGGCAUUAUUCUCGCUUUGGGUGCAAGAGGUCCCGGGUUCAAAUCCCGGACGGGCCC